GGCUCUGCUUCAGGAAGAGUGACACAAGCUCCAAAGCCUCGGUAUCAUUUGCCCAUCACUACCCCCGGAUUCCCUGAGCCUGCUUUCCUGCCCCUUCUGUCUAGUGUUUUCCUGUUAACUUCCAGAUACAAAAUGAAGAAACUAUUGGCUUUACUCUUCUUCUGUCACGUUGCAUCUUCAGCCCCGAAAAACGAAACCAUGGAGUGCUGCCGCUUCUUGUACGCAACGGGGAUGUGCCUUGCUGUCUUCAGCCACGGUGAGAAAAGGCUGCCAUUCUGG